UACAGAGGGUGCGAGCGUUGUCCGGAAUUACUGGGCGUAAAGGGCGCGUAGGCGGCUUGAUAAGUAGGAGGUGAAAUUCCAUGGCUCAACCAUGGAUCGGCCUUCUAGACUGUCAGGCUUGAGCACGGUAGAGGCAGAUGGAAUUCCCGGUGUAGCGGUGGAAUGCGUAGAGAUCGGGAAGAACACCAGUGGCGAAGGCGGUCUGCUGGGCCGUUGCUGACGCUGAGGCGCGACAGCGUGGGGAGCAAAC
rnacentral:rRNA from 1 species